rnacentral:rRNA from 1 species
AUUGAACGCUGGCGGCAUGCCUUACACAUGCAAGUCGAACGGUAACAGGUUAAGCUGACGAGUGGCGAACGGGUGAGUAAUGUAUCGGAACGUGCCCAGUCGUGGGGGAUAACUGCUCGAAAGAGCAGCUAAUACCGCAUACGACCUGAGGGUGAAAGCGGGGGAUCGCAAGACCUCGCGCGAUUGGAGCGGCCGAUAUCAGAUUAGGUAGUUGGUGGGGUAAAGGCCUACCAAGCCUACGAUCUGUAGCUGGUCUGAGAGGACGACCAGCCACACUGGGACUGAGACACGGCCCAGACUCCUACGGGAGGCAGCAGUGGGGAAUUUUGGACAAUGGACGCAAGUCUGAUCCAGCCAUGCCGCGUGCGGGAAGAAGGCCUUCGGGUUGUAAACCGCUUUUGUCAGGGAAGAAAAGAUUCUGGUUAAUACCUGGGGGGGAUGACGGCACCUGAAGAAGAAGCACCGGCUAACUACGUGCCAGCAGCCGCCGUAACAC